GAUGAAGAACGCAGCGAAACGCGAUAUGUAAUGUGAAUUGCAGAAUUCAGUGAAUCAUCGAAUCUUUGAACGCACAUGGCGCCUUCCAGUGUCCUGGGAGGCAUGCCUGUCCGAGCGUCGUUUCAACCCUCGAGCCCCCGUGGCCCGGCGUUGGGGAUCUGCCCAGGCAGUCCCCGAAAACCAGUGGCGGACCCGUUACAGGCCCUUCCCUUGCGUAGUAGCAUUCGCCUCGCAUCGGGAGCCGGCGGGCUUCCAGCCUCUAAACCCCCAUCAAGUCCGCCCCGGCGGCACCAAGGUUGACCUCGGAUCAGGUAGGAAUACCCGCUGAACUUAAGCAUAUCAAUAAGCGGAGGA
rnacentral:misc_RNA from 1 species